rnacentral:rRNA from 1 species
UACGUAGGGUGCAAGCGUUGUCCGGAAUUAUUGGGCGUAAAGAGCUCGUAGGCGGUUUGUCGCGUCUGCUGUGAAAACUCAGGGCUUAACCCUGAGCCUGCAGUGGGUACGGGCAGACUAGAGUGUGGUAGGGGAGAUCGGAAUUCCUGGUGUAGCGGUGGAAUGCGCAGAUAUCAGGAGGAACACCGGUGGCGAAGGCGGAUCUCUGGGGCCAUAACUGACGUGAGGAGCGAAAAGCAUGG